rnacentral:lncRNA from 1 species
CAACCAGGAAAAAAAAAGUAUUUUGCAAAGAGUUCUAAAGGCUCCAGCACAAGGCAGUGUAUCUGUAUCACAGCACAGGUGAAAAACAAGAACAAGAUGGAAUUCUCAGAAGAGGAUGAGCAGAACUUGGACAUCCCAGAAAAAAGGUGUCUGGACUGAACCCGACCACAGUUGGCCAAGGACUUUCACCAAUUCUUCAUACAUAGGAAUGGUACAUUAGAAUCCUAUUAUAUAUUCCUUAGGGUCACAGAUGAUUCUGUUUAUGUUAAUU